GAGCUCGCUGCAAAUAAAUCCCAAUCGACAUUUAGCAACUUCGAGGGCUUCCCGGGCAGCUCGUGUGCGAUUUACAGGAUUAAAACCGCAUUUAAUUUGAUUUACUGUCUAUGGCACAUUACCAAGUCGCAUUCGGAUGGUGAACUCGUUACUAAAUUCUGCAGACAAUUCGUACAGAAUGUGUGCAGACAUGGCAGGACUCGGGGUUCUAUAAAGUGUUUUUCACAUUGUGGACAUUUUAAUUUAUCGAUGUCUAAAGAUGCGUUUGUUUCACUUUUGGCUGGGUUUGAUUUAGAUCGAUCAUGCGCAAUCGUCAACGACGGUUUGGAUGAUUCCACAGAUCGACGUUUCGAUGCAUUGAAGUCUUGAUUUUGUUUUCGGCGUGAAAACGAACCGAAAAUGUAUGAAAACUGUUCAAUUUCCAUCAUCUAAUAUAAAAUAAUAUAAUUAUUUGGUUGCAUAUAUGCUAAAUUGAGGUUAAAAUGUUUUAUGGUUUUCUACCAUUUGAUCUAUAAAUAUUUAAAACGUUUAAGUUAAAAUAAACUUAGUAGUAAUAAAA